GGACACGUGAGGGACGGAGGUGGCGCCCGCCCGACGGCUGGUACUUGCCGGCCCCUGCUGCUCCUGCUGCCACUGCCGCAUCCAUCGUGGGAUUACAACAUUUAUCUAUUUAUUGUUUCAAUGCCUUUGACAAAGGACAGGACUUGUCCCCCAAACCCAAGUCCGAAAAGAAGUUGUCAACUCAUCUCAGGGGCUUUUGCACGUUCGGGACAUUCGCACAGACCAGGAGUAGGUUUGCUGCCAGAUCUACAGUACACAGAUUGUUACUAUUGAAAUAUUUAUCUCUUUGGAGUUGUCCGCUGACCAAACAUAUCUUGCCCUAAAUUCGCUCUGUAGAGGAUUCGAGACAUAAAACAGAGCUUUUAGUGUACGGGAUGAAAUGCACAAAUUUCAAAUGGUCAGUCAAUUGUCCUGCUGAAGAAGAACAGAACGUGUUGGAGAUAUUCACCUGGUCAGAUAGCAUCUGUGGAGAAAGUAAUUGAUGAGAAGGCCUUCCCUGUCACAUCAAUCACACACUGAGUUUCAUCACUACACCAGCUGCUCUGGAGGCGUCUACGUCGACGAUGAGGCAGUCAUCCAUUUCUUUCGGGAACAUGCAUUUACUAAGAAGCUCUGGGGAAAAAAAGGCAUUUGUAUUUGUGGAGGUUCGUGCUGAACGGCCAAAGGUUACAGACUGGUAUAUUCCAACCUCUACAGAUGGAUCUACUGCAAGGAUGUCAUGAUUAAGGGCCACAGUUUAAGGUCCUCUGACCAUUGCACACUGAGAGGCUGGAGCCUUGGACUUUCACUUGUGAAUGAUAAAAUGAUGUUAUCCUUUUGAUUGUUAUUGCACAAAUAAAAUGUCUUACUAACUUCAA